rnacentral:tRNA from 2 species
GCCCCUGUGGCGGAACUGGUAGACGCGCGGGAUUCAAAAUCCCGUUCCCGCAAGGGAGUGUCCGUUCGAUUCGGACCAGGGGCACCA